rnacentral:rRNA from 1 species
UACGUAGGUGGCAAGCGUUGUCCGGAAUUACUGGGUGUAAAGCGCGUGUAGGCGGUCGGGCAAGUCGGAUGUGAAAGCCCAGGGCUCAACCCUGGAAGUGCACUCGAUACUGCUCGGCUAGAGUCCCGGAGAGGAUGGUGGAACUCUCGGUGUAGAGGUGAAAUUCGUAGAUAUCGAGAAGAACACCGGUGGCGAAGGCGGCCAUCUGGACGGUGACUGACGCUGAGACGCGAAAGCGUGGGGAGCAAACAGG